UCUUUUUAAAAGGUUAAAAAGUCUAAUCUGCUCACUGAAUUUAUUUAAAGAGCCGCAGUAUCUUGACUGUGCAAAGGUAGCAUAAUCAAUAGUUUCUUAAUUAGGAACUGGAAUGAAUGAUUUGAUGAAAAAUUUAUUUUUUUUGUUUUAGUAAAUUGAACUUAAAUUUUAAGUUAAAAUUCUUAAUUAUUAUUAAAAGACGAGAAGACCCUAUAGAUUUUUAUUAUCCAUAUUUAAUUUUAAUAUUUAUUAAAUUAUUAUAAUUUAGUUGGGGCGAUUAUGUAAUAUAUAAAACUUAAUUUUAUUUAACCAUGUAUUUUUGAAUUUUUUGAUCCAAAAAUUUUGAUUAUUAGAUUAAAUUACCUUAGGGAUAACAGCGUAAUUUUAUUUAAGAGUUCAUAUCUAUAAUAAAGUUUGCGACCUCGAUGUUGAAUUAAGAUUUAUACUGAAGCAGAAUAUAGUAAUAAUAGUCUGUUCGACUAUAAAAAUC
rnacentral:rRNA from 1 species